AUGAUUCACCUUGAGGCGGCUAACUUUUGUUUCUCGUUCUUCCACAGCAACUUAUCCUGCGCCACCGCACCAGCAGCUUCCUGCUGUCGAUCUCCUGCACUCCUAUGGGACCUCCGCGCUCACAGCUCAGACUCUAGUCUCAACAGUCUGCCCCUAGUUCAGCUUCCCUCUGCUUCCUCGCUAUCGCUGACCCCUGACCCUCUUCGCUCACAGAGGUCUCCGGGCACAGUGCUAGCUGAGAUUGCUCAGCUGAGCAGAGAGACCGAUCUUAUCAGGGCUCAACUCAGCCAGGCAAAGGGCCUCGGGUCAGGGGUCAGAGAAUCGCUCGACAGUGGCAAUGAGAGAAGAGGGUUGAGCUGCAGCAGCACCGGGAGAGUAACACCUCAGAGCGCUGCAGAGAGCAGGAUGUCUGGGUCCAGCUGUAAAGAGAGGUGUAGCCAGCAUGUGUGGACUCCUGAAGAACAACAGCUGACUCAACAGGCAACAUCACUCAACACUUUCAGUGCAAACAGUGUGGAGCAAUGCCUCCUGGAGCUGAACAGGCAGAGCGCUGCAGCCCGAGGUCGACUACUGGAAAUAAUCGAGCAACAGAAGCAAAGUGUUUCAGCCAGAGUCUCACCCUCUGUCUCCCUGAUCCCAGCUUCUGCCUUCAGCCCGAAUCCAGAAUCCACGGAAGGCCUGGAGGCAUCAGAGCUGCUGCCUGAGCGGGAGCUCCGGUCACACAGUGGUGGCGGUGAGGGUGAGAGGAGGUUUGCUGGCUCUGAUGCAUCUUCUUACAGUUUUGGAAGAUAAACUAGGGAUGGCAAAACACAGCUCUUGGACUUGAAGUUCAGUUUUCGUCUCUUCCGCGGUGCGCGCUGUUCGCCUCCAGCAGAAGUCACAUGAUCCAUCCAGAUCCGUGUGCUCGGACUGAAAUCUGGAAACAGUGGAAG
ensembl:lncRNA